GCAUUCCUAAAUUCUACAGUGUCAAACGUUACAGAACCAAGAAAACACAUAGAAGAUUCAUUUCUGAACAAGACUUAAAAGACAGAACAGAAUAAUAAUGAGUGAGCAUAGGAACCCUAUUUUUGACGAUUGGUUGGAUGAUCUUCGAAAGAUCAGAAAAAUGACCUUGGAAGAAUUCAAUGAUCGUCUGGAUACCCUUGAGGUCAUAUGUAGAGAUCGACACAUUGGAAUAACGGUGAACAGACUGACUAGAUCUGAGUUUGAUGAAUUCCAGGCCUGUUUGUCUGAGUACAUGCAGUACCUGGAAGGCCCUCCUAAAGAAAAACCUAGUGUAAAUCAGCAAGCCACGGAUUUGGUUAUUCGUGUCAUCAGCUGUACAGGAAAAUGGCUCUUCAGAACACUUCUGACAAUGCACCAGAACGGCUCUCUGAGGUACUGGGUCGAUACCUGGUAUUUUUAAAUAAACUAGUGUCAUGAAAAGCUAAGGAUGGAGCGCACUGCUCUGCAAAA